UUUCAGUAUCUCGUAGUGUCCCAGUCCAUUUAUUACUUUAAUAAGAUGCUUAGAAAAAACAACAACAAUAACAACAAAAUGUACCUAAUAAAAUUGUCCCAUUAGUCAGUGGAGUUCUCUAUUUCUCUCUCUUUAACACAAACCAGCUCUCUCUGUCCCCCCAUUGGUCUGUGAGAUGUCUAAUCAAUCCUCAUUGGCUGGUGAUUCCACACCACACCCUCUCCAUGGAGCAGCAGCCUGUUGCCAUAGCAACCUUGGGGGUCAGGGUUUAGAAGCGUGCCUCAGGUCAAGUGGGCGGUGACCUGUGAAGCCCCCCUCCCUGACGGGCUCACAGACAAUCCCAGCGUCCGAGAGUCAAAAAGGAAGUUGGCCUGCUGGUCUCCAUUGAGCGUGCACAGACUGUCCGUCAGGGUUCCACUGGGGGAGGAGCCAAGGAAAGGGUUCUGAUUGGCCACAGCAGCACAAGAAACCGCCAUCUUGUCUGGGUUGGCUGCGAUGUUAGUGGGGGGGUUGGCGUAACCAUAGAGACCGUAGUGGGGGGAAUGGAGGCAGAUACUACCGUAGCCCUGGCGGGGUGGAGGAUGCAGGUAGCCAAUCUGAGAGGGGGGUGAGGACAUGGAGCAGAAUACUUCACGGUCAUAAGCUGACGGUCUUCGCACCACAGGAAGGGGGAAGGGGGAAGCGGGGUUGACGUAGUGAUGGAGGGGGUGUGUGUGUGUGUGUGUUGGUCGGCUGCAGGUGUAGUCCAGGGGAGAAUGAGGGCACACCUUGAAUGGGGAGGAGCAAGGAGAAGAGGAGAGCAGGUGAGAUGGGACUCCAUGCGACCCCGGGACUCCUGCAGGGAGACAGACAGGGGUUAGAGACACCAGUAUCUUUAUAGACAGACAGGUGUUAGAGACACCAGUAUCAUUAUAGACAGACAGGGGGUUAGAGACACCAGUAUCAUUAUAGACAGACAGGUGUUAGAGACACCAGUAUCAUUAUAGACAGACAGGGGUUAGAGACACCAGUAUCAUUAUAGACAGACAGGGGGUUAGAGACACCAGUAUCAUUAUAGACAGACAGGGGUUAGAGACACCAGUAUCUUUAUAGACAGACAGGUGUUAGAGACACCAGUAUCAUUAUAGACAGACAGGGGGUUAGAGACACCAGUAUCAUUAUAGACAGACAGGUGUUAGAGACACCAGUAUCAUUAUAGACAGACAGGGGUUAGAGACACCAGUAUCAUUAUAGACAGACAGGGGUUAGAGACACCAGUAUC
ensembl:lncRNA